UCCGAUAUGGUGUAAUGGCUAACAUUUAGCACUCUCACCUCGAAUGAGAGUUCCUGCUAGGCUCAGGGUUCGAUUCCCUGUAUCGGAG